rnacentral:lncRNA from 1 species
GUGAAAGCUGUAUUCUAGGAUUUCCAAGAGAAGUAUUGCGUAUACAGCAAGGUUCAACGUAUCUAACUAUUAAUUGUUACAAUACAAUGUUAGUUGGAAAACGUGGUUAUUGAUAUUGCGGGCAAGACCGAGGACAAGAACGUGGUUAUUAUAAAGUGGCCAGAUUUAUUUUACAUGGACUGAUGGACAUAUGCUGAACUGAGUUUAAUAGAAAGGUCUGAAAGGAAUUCAUCGUACCAAUAACCAUUGACAUUGUAAAUACUCGUAUGUUUAAUAUCAAGCCAGGUUGCAGAAUUUUAAAUCGUGCUGUAAACUUUGUGUAUAUCUUGGAUGCUUAGAUUUCAGGUAGGAAUUGAAUAAAUUCAUUGUUAUUUGAGGUUUUAUUUUGAUUUUACCAUGCCACUUCCUGAUGUGACCUGACAGUGCUUGCAAGUUUAUAAUAAUGCGUCAUCGCCCAGAUGUUGGAUGAAUUUGACAAAAUAUUUUCCUUGCUUGCAAUUCUAAUUUCAUUCCAAAAAUAUGGCGAAGUUUUCUUUGUCUUUUGAAUCCCUUGAGAUUAUUUUUAAUACACACCACCAAACACAAAAUAUGAGAGCAUUCGAUUUAAAAGUUGUCUUUGAUUCGAUGAUUUCGAUCUGAUCUGCUUAAUUUAAUAGAUAAUAGCCGUUUUCACAUUAGAAGACGGACAAGUCGUCUAGACGAACAAAUCGUCUCAAAAUCGUCUUUUAGUCAAACAAAUCAUCAGAUGUGAAAACGUGUCGGACAAAAUUUUAGACGAACAAGUCGUCUGAAUUUGUUCGACUACUUGCAUGUCCGUCUGUGAAGACGAUUUUUGAGAGACGAUUUGUUCGUCUAGACGACUUGUCCGUCUCUAAUGUGAAUAGGGCUAAUGACUUGAAAAUUCCUUACGAAGUAUUUGAAAUUUCUGGUAUCAUAUUCUUGAAAGAAUGAGUAUAAUAUUCUUGAAAGAAUGAGUAUAACCAAACCAAUACAGCCAUUUGCAGUUGCAUUGGGCAUACAGAUGAGUGAAGUUUAAGAACAUCCAGUUUGACUUAAUUUAAUUUUAAAAAGAAUCUAUCGAAGUUUCAAAUUCUCGAUCUGUCCGUUUUGAUAUUAAAUUACUGAUCAUUCAAAUCUCUCUCAAAAUUUGCAAAGAUAGAAUGCAGUCAUGGCUCCUAGCUUGCUUAAUGGUUCGAUUAGUCAGUUUACAAGCAGGCAGAGUUGGUCCUUGAACGGUGGGCCGAGUUGGUUAGUGGGCCGAGUUGACUGUAAAGCAAUAUUUUGCACCCCAGCCACGCUAGAAAUGUUCAGUUUACUGAUAUACCGAAAAUGUUGUCACUUGAUAUUGAAACCAAUAUCGGUUUUUCUGUAUGAGUUUUUCAGUCAUACCGAUAUACCAAAAUUUCCGAUAUAUUGGAAUUUUUGGGUAUACCGUAUCAAAUUUACACACCAUGCAUAUGGCCAAAUCAUCAAUUUUUGUUUUACUCAAAUGCAAAGUAAAAGAAGUAGACAUUUCAUGUUAAAAACAUUGUCAACAUCUAUGAAAUAUUCAAAUUAUUCGAAAUCAAAAAUUCGUUCAAAUUUCUAAUUCAAAAAGCGAAAAACCAAUAUACGACAAUAUCGGACAGACCGGUUUUUCCUUAUUUACAUAAGCAUAGGUAUAAGCAACUACAACAAGGGUGAUAAUUACUAUUUGAUUGGGGAGGGGCUGAAAGCGAGGGCCAAAGGCCCGAGGAAAUUUUUAAAUUUAGAGUCUCUGAAAUGCCAUUUCCUGGACUUUGGGGAAGAUUUGACAGAAUUCUGCUGGUCAGAAAACAGCAUUUUAAUAUGUCAAAAUUUACAAUUUAGUAGUACUAAAUGGGCUAAGCCAUAUUUAGUUAACUAUAUUUUUGAUAAGUUGCAGCAAAGUAUGGGUAAUAUCUUCAUUCUUUGCAUGGAUUAAAUAAUAAAGGUCUUCAUGAUUUUGAAAAAAGAAUGAUUAUUAGCAAAUUAUUGGGGGGGGGGGGGAGUGCAGCCCCCCGGUUGCUACGGCCCUGUUUAUACAACCACAACAAUAAUAAAUUGUAAUCCCUGAAAUGGCAUAAGAGUUUUAAGAGCACUUUAAUUUAUGAAAAUUUUUAUAUUUCCAAGAAAAGAUUUUAAGGUUGCUUUGGGGAUAAAGCACAUCCCCGGUGAAAUGAUCAUGCACAAUUCAUGAAUGUUCAUGAAUAAAUCCAUGAACGUUCAUCAUGAAUGUUUGACCAUGAACAUUCAUGAAAGUUACUCAAAUUGUUCAUGAACUGGUCAUGAAUAUCCACGAACAACAAAUGAGAUUUUUUGAGUUCAUGGCCGUUCACGGUAAUCAUUCUUAAGUAAUCAUUCUUAAGCAUUAACACAGUAACAUGAACAUGAACACAGUAAUCAUUCUUAAGCAAACAUAAGCCAUAUAAAAAUUAUAAUAUACAAAAUGACAUAACUCCAAGAGAAUAUUUUGUAUUACAGUAUAGAUCAUUUACAUUUUAUACACACAUUGUAUUUGAAAAUAUAUAAUUCAAAAUUAUUUUAAUGGUUCUUAGGGCCGGUGUUCAAAAAGCUUGAUUAGUGCUAGACCAUAUAAUAGCCACAUUUAAUUAAAAUACAACAGUUAUAAGAGCUGUAUCAGAUAGCAUUUAUGCAACAGCAAAUAGACUAAAUUUAUGGCAUCAAAUAAACACCUAUACUCUCGCUGUUUAUGUGAUUUGCUGACCAAUUUCAUAGUGAAUAUAGAAUAUUCAAUGCAGAAAGUUAAAGCAUUUCACACAUUUCUAAAUUUUACAAGUCUUACAAGGAUCUCUAGAUUUGAAAUUCAAUAAACUCUCUUCGUGAAUGAGGUAAAUUAUUCUAGGCGAGUCAGAACAUGAGAAAUGAUGCUGAGAUGUUUGGCACAUACAUAGUGCACAAGAUUUGAUAUUGUAAUGCUGUAUCUGCAUGUGUACUGAUUAUCUGCUCAUCCUUUGUAGCUACUUGAAUGACCUGACUUUUACAUUGGUCAGAACGACUCUGACGUGGGAGUUGGGAUAUUCAAAAAAGGGUUACAGGUAGGCAGAAGAAGCUGGACUGCAUGUUGCCUAUUUUUAUAAUCACCUAAGUAUGUUAGUCGUGAUAAUUCUGCCUGCUGCAGCCAAGUGAACAAUACUGUAUCACAACAUCACACAACACUGAGUCUCGCAGAACAAGUGUUGUUUAAUGCUGAAAAUUUCCAGUCCUCAAACGGACCACAAGGUUGCAAUCAGACCUGACCGUAUAUAGCUAUGUUGCAUUGGUAGAGUAACAGGCUAGCAUUUGUAGGUCGCAGCCUCGAAACCAAGCUGUGGCAGGCAAAAUUUUCUGCUUUUGUGGUUUGGAUUCAUUUACUCAAAACAUUUCAUCC